CAGUGUGCAGAAAGCGGCUGAAACUGCUGUACUGCCCAACUCCACACAUGGCUCGAGCCAAAAACCCCCAGCCCAGAGUGACUCGGAGGUUUCUGCAGACCCAGUACCAACCUGCUUCCCCGAUCCUGGCUGGGCCUUCCCAGGAGAGACAGAGGGCCCGGUCCCCGUCGGCCAGAUGGGGUCUUACUUGGUUGCCUCGGCGGGACUGCAGUGGCUCUUCAAAGGCAAGUCCGCAGUGACUGCAGCUUGGAGCCCCGGAGCUCAAGUGGUCCUCCUGCCUCAGCUUCCUGAGUCGCUAGGAUUACAGUUGUUGCUAGUUUGAUUCCAAGGAAGGACCAGACACCCUCGCCUCCGUGCUCUCGCCUGUGAACAUCUGUUCCGCCCUUCCUCUUCAGAGCAGGAACAAUGUGGUUUUGGAAACUGAUUCCAGCUCCAGCCUAAGCCAGUCACGAUAAUUCCACUCCUCUGCCAGGAAUUAUUUAGAAAGCCAGGUUUAAUGCCAGGCGUGGCAUUUCCCUGUGACAGUUCUUGCUUCGGGGUGAGUACAUACACUAAAUUACUCCAGUCAGACUGAAGGGGGAUUUUAAUUCCACAGUUAAAUGAAAGACUCUCUCCCCCUUGUCCUGAAAGCUGUCCCAGUUAACAGCCUCUGUAAGAAUAAAGCCCUCAGGUAGAGGAGGCAGGCAGAGAAAACUGCCAGGCCUCCCUUCUGAGUCUCCACUCCAAGAGCAGCAAAAUCCCUUCGCGUUCAAGCCCUCUUGAGACAAACUUCUUACGUCUUGCUGCCAAAGUAUAUUAACUUUUCCCUAAUCUUUCCCUUCUUGACUCUGAUCUCAACAAUUCACACAAAUUAGCUAGGUGCUAGAAAUUUCCUUAAGCUAGGGGGUUGAAGUCUCAGAACCAU